CUAAACAUAUACCCCAAGGGUUUGAAGUGAUUCUAAAGUGAUUACACCAUAGUUCAACAUCAAAACUUAGUUCUAGCGAAGAACAACACCUCUUUGAGGUUGUGUUGUCAUUGAGGAUUGUUGUGGGAUAUAUUUGGAUGAAAUUACAAGUUGUUGCUGCUGUCUAAGGUGAGUAUAACAGCCUACUAAUUGUGCUUGCUUGUAUGUUGGUUAAGUUGUUAGGAUGAUAAACUACAAGAUAAUACUUCAAUUAGCUUAAGUCACUUCUAUGGUGUUGUAUUGCUAUUGAGGGUUGUUGUAAAUUGAAUAUAACUGGGAUUUUGACUUGAAGUUACUGUAGGAGGUAUGUAUAUUGUGUUCUUUCUUGUGCCUAAGGUUAUCUUGAUGUUGAUUAAGUUAAAUGGAUGAGCUAGACAUAAACUAGUGAAUAAAGUUGCUAAUUGAGGAUAGUUGAAGUUGUGGAUUAUUUUCGUUGUUAUAAAUAUAUGGUAUAAGGCUGGGAUCAUUGAUUAAUGACUUCAUUAUCAUGUUAAUGAUACCUUUAUGUUAAAGUAAGAAGUCUAUAAGGAUUGAUAAGGGGUAUACAGAUUCCAAUCGGAGCUUGCCGCUCGUCGUAAUGUAGUUGUGACUUGUUGUUGUUAUAUGGUGUCUUGAUAUUGAUAAUUAUGUAUUGAUGGAUUGCUCUGGUCAUUGUUGUUGGUAUAUGGUAUUGGAGAAGGCCCUUGUUACAAGGGAGAUGCUGCCCAAUUUACAUAAACGAGCUACUAGCUUAAGUUAUAGACUAGCCUUUGCUCAACACUGAUUUUGAAUCUCCUUAUACUAUGAUAGAUUGAGUUAACUUGUUCGAAGAGUUGCUUGGAAGAGAUGAAGG
rnacentral:lncRNA from 1 species